rnacentral:lncRNA from 1 species
GAAGAGUCGGAGAUGGUGGAAAUCUAGGCUAGGUGUUGUGAAGAACAAGAGCCAAGUUUGAUGAGGCCAUCAGGGACCAGCAACAGAAACAUGAGGUCAGUCCAGCCUGGGGCAGUUUCUCUCCAAGAGAAGAUGGAGGAAGGACAGCUAAGUGACUGGAAAUUUGACUUGCCUUCAUGUCAAGAGAUACCUGCACCUUUUGGAAACAACAAACCCUUUGUGGUACCUCAGUGGGAUCAUCAGUGGGGCAUGGCCCUCUCCUGGAUGACGUUCUCAUGCUGCUUUGCAAAGAGAAUGUAUAACAGGAUUUGUACAGGGCUGCAAAUGCUGAAGAUGACAGUUAAGGAAGAUGAAAACUCCAUAAAAGGGCGUUGCUGUGUUCCCUCCCUGUUGUUUGACCUGAGGCCAGACUAUGGUGGCGAUAAUGAAGAUAAUGGUGACCUCCUUCAAAAGGGCCCAUGCUUGCCCUGCCACGCUCCGUGCCCCCAGUGCUGCCACAGGCCACCACCGACCCACGCCUCUGCCGGAGACUCCUGGGCAAAUCUGGGUCAGUCUCUUGUGGGGUCACUGCUCCUUUCUCCUGGGUACUGGUGCAUACAAAGUUCUGUUUGUGCCCUCCCAGAGUCUGUUUUCCAGUCCUGUGUAAGUUCUGGCAGCUCUAUGGUGGGUUAAUGGCAACCUCCUCCAGGAAGGCUUAUGCCAGCCCCAGGUCUGCUGCACCCAGAGCCCCUGCCCCCGCAGCAGUCCACUGCUCACCCGUACCUCCUCAGGAGACACCCAAACACAGUUCUGUCUCCGUCUCUGUGGGGUCUCUGGGUCCUGGUGCAUACAAGUACGUUUGAGCCUUCUGAGAAUCUCUGGCGGCUAUGGGGUUUGAUUCUAAAUGCAAUUUCGCCCCUCCUACCAUCUUACUGGGGCUUCUCCUUUGCCCUUGGAUGUGGGCUAUCUCCUCAAAGUCAUUCCAGCACUGCAUAGCCACCAGUCAAGUGCUUCAACCUGAGCCCCAUGCAAAUAUCUCAAACACAGAUAAAAGAUUUUAAUAAAAUAUGAGUAAAUUGACUCUCACUUCAGUUCAGUCGCUCAGUCGUGUCUGACUCUUUGUGACCCCAUGAAUCGCAGCAUGCCAGGCCUCCCUGUCCAUCACCAACUCCUGGAGUUCACUCAGAUUCAUGUCCAUCGAGGCAGUGAUGCCAUCCAGCCAUCUCAUCCUCUGUCGUCCCCUUCUCCUCCUGCCCCCAAUCCCUCUCAGCAUCAAAGUCUUUUCCAAUGAGUCAACUCUGUGCAUGAGGUGGCCAAAGUACUGGAGUUUCAGCUUUAGCAUCAUUCCUUCCAAAGAAAUCCUAGGGCUGAUCUCCUUCAGAAUGGACUGGUUGAAUCUCCUUGCAGUCUAAGGGACUCUCAAGAGUCUUCUCCAACACCACAGUUCAAAAGCAUCAAUUCUUUGGUGCUCAGCCUUCUUCACAGUCCAACUCUCACAUCCAUACAUGACCACUGGAAAAACCAUAGCCUUGAAGCAACUGACAAACAACUAAUCUCAAAAAUAUACAAGCAACUUAUGCAGCUCAAUUCCAGAAAAAUAACCCAAUCAAAAAAUGGGCCAAAGAACUAAAUAGACAUUUCUCCAAAGAAGACAUACGGAUGGCUAACAAACACAUGAAAAGAUGCUCAACAUCACUCACUAUUAGAGAAAUGCAAGUCAAAACCACAAUGAGGUACCACUUCACACCAGUCAGAAUGGCUGCGAUCCAAAAAUCUGCAAGCAAUAAAUGCUGGAGAGGGUGUGGAGAAAAGGGAACCCUCCUAUACUGUUGGUGGGAAUGCAAACUAGUACAGCCACUAUGGAGAACAGUGUGGAGAUUCCUUAAAAAAUUGCAAGUAGAACUGCCAUAUGACCCAGCAAUCCCACUGCUGGGCAUACACACCGAGGAAACCAGAAUUGAAAGAGACACAUGUACCCCAAUGUUCAUCACAGCACUGUUUAUAAUAGCCAGGACAUGGAAACAACCUAGAUGUCCAUCAGCAGAUGAAUGGAUAAGAAAGCUGUGGUAGAUAUACACAAUGGAGUAUUACUCAGCCGUUAAAAAGAAUUCAUUUGAAUCAGUUCUGAUGAGAUGGAUGAAACCGGAGCCGAUUAUACAGAGUGAAGUAAGCCAGAAAGAAAAACACCAAUACAGUAUACUAACACAUAUAUAUGGAAUUUAGAAAGAUGGCAAUGAUGACCCUGUAUGCAAGACAGCAAAAAAGACACAGAUGUGUAUAACGGACUUUUGGACUCAGAGGGAGAAGGAGAGGGUGGGAUGAUUUGGGAGAAUGGCAUUGUAACAUGUAUACUAUCAUGUAAGAAUCGAAUCGCCAGUCUAUGUCUGAUGCAGGAUACAGCAUGCUUGGGGCUGGUGCACGGUGAUGACCCAG